rnacentral:rRNA from 1 species
UACGUAGGCAGCGAGCGUUGUUCGGAGUUACUGGGCGUAAAGAGUGCGUAGGCGGUUUUCUAAGUUUGGUGUGAAAUCUCCCGCUUAACUGGGAGGGUGCGCCGAAGACUGGAAGGCUUGAGUAUGGGAGAGGUAAGCGGAAUUCCUGGUGUAGCGGUGAAAUGCGUAGAUAUCAGGAGGAAGACCGGUGGCGAAGGCGGCCUGCUGGGCAGUUACUGACACUGAGGCGCGACAGCGUGGGGGAGCAAACAGGG